CUUUAGAGCUGCGAAAAGGAAAAAGAGUAGCCAUUUACACUGACUCCAAGUAUGCCUUUCUGGUGCUACAUGCACAUGCUGCUAUUUGGAAGGAAAGAGGCCACUUGACCACCAAAGUGUCCCUAAUCAAAUAUGGUGAUCAAAUCCUUAGACUAUUGAGGCAGUCCAUCUGCCAGCUGAGGUUUCAGUCUCCCAGUGCAAAGGACACCAAAAAGGGAGCACGGCAGUGGCCUGAGGGAACCAAGCAGCCAAUCAGGCAGUUAGGAGAGCAGCAUUACAAUGACCUAAUACAGAUUCCCACCUUAGUUCCACAGACUAAUUUGCCAAAACUCCUUCAUAUACUGAAGGUGAGACACUUAAAGCUGAGUGAGGGUUUUCAAGAAGAUCAUAAGGGGUGGUUCCAAAAGGAGGAACUUCUUUUUUUGCCUGGGGACCUCCAGUAGAAGUUGGUUAACUCCUUACAUGCCACAACUCAUUUAGAAGAAGGUUCUCCAAAGAUUACUAAAAAGGUCCUUCAGAGGAACAGACCUUCAAACGACUAUAAGGUCAACAGGCUACAAUAUGCACUGCCAGUUUAACAAGGAUAUAUAAAACUACAGCCGACCAUGGAAAAUAUCACUCACCCUUAGAUGGACACUGCUAUAAGGACUCUGAGGCUUGAGACUAGCAAGAGGGCGAGGCUCAAUGCCCCUUGCUAUCCCAGUUCUGCAGGAAGUAGCCAGAGAGACCUCGAAGCCCCUAUUCCCAAAGAAUUGGGCUUCCCAUCUCUUGAGGGGGGAAUGUUAGGAAGUUAGAACAGAAAAAAGGAGUCCAAAAUGGCAGUGGCUAAAAGACAAAGAAGGAAAAAGCAUGAAAAUAGGAACAAAGGAAGGUCCCAGGACCACAGUAAGGACCUCAGGUAAAACAAACAGCCCUCCUGGCUAGCCCAAUUUAUGUUGGGCAGGUUCAGGGGGUGGAGAAAAAACAUAUAAAAAGAGAUGCCAAAAUUGAGCCGGGGCUUCUUUCUUCGUGUCUUUUGGGUUGGCCCACUCUCACGCCUAUUUUCCUUUGCUUACCAAUAAAACUGAUCUAUAACACUGA
ensembl:lncRNA